AGUGUAAGGGACACUCUCAGAAAAGGUGUAAAGCAGUUGCUUCUCUUGUUCCUUCAUAGGUGAUGUUUCUACUAUGGAAGAUCAAAGAUAAAAUAUACUCCUACCCUUAGGUUUCUAAACAAUGCAAGUGUUCGAGAGAAAUGGCAGCAGAGUUGGGAAAGCGUUCCUGGUCUUGUAUGAGUAUUCUGAUUACUUCUUCUAUAGCCUGGCUUUUAAUUUUUGAGUGUAAGAUACACUCUCAGAAAAGGUGUAAAGCAGUUGCUUCUUUUGUUCCUUCAUAGGUGAUGUUUCUACUAUGGAAGAUCAAAGAUAAAAUAUACUCCUACCCUUAGGUUUCUAAACAAUGCAAGUGUUCGAGAGAAAUGGCAGCAGAGUUGGGAAAUCCUUCCUGGUCUUGUAUGAGUAUUCUGAUUACUUCUUCUAUAGCCUGGCUUUUAAUUUUUGAGUGUAAGAUACACUCUCAGAAAAGGUGUAAAGCAGUUGCUUCUCUUGUUCCUUCAUAGGUGAUGUUUCUACUAUGGAAUAUCAAAGAUAAAAUAUACUCCUGCCCUUUGGUUUCUAAACGAUGCAAGUGCUCGAGAGAAAUGGCAGCAGAGUUGUGAGAGCCUUCCUGGUCUUGUAUGAGUAUUCUGAUUACUUCUUCUAUAGCAUGGCUUUUAAUUUUUGAGUGUAAGAUACACUCUCAGAAAAGGUGUAAAGCGGUUGCUUCUCUUGUUCCUUCAUAGGUGAUGUUUCUACUAUGGAAGAUCAAAGAUAAAAUAUACUCCUGCCCUUAGCUUUCUAAACAAUGCAAGUGUUCGAGAGAAAUGGCAGCAGAGUUGGGAAAUCCUUCCUGGUCUUCUAUGAGUAUUCUGAUUACUUCUUCUAUAGCCUGGGUUUUAAUUUUUGAGUGUAAGAUACACUCUCAGAAAAGGUGUAAAGCAGUUGCUUCUCUUGUUCCUUCAUAGGUGAUGUUUCUACUAUGGAAUAUCAAAGAUAAAAUAUACUCCUGCCCUUUGGUUUCUAAACGAUGCAAGUGCUCGAGAGAAAUGGCAGCAGAGUUGUGAGAGCCUUCCUGGUCUUGUAUGAGUAUUCUGAUUACUUCUUCUAUAGCCUGGCUUUUAAUUUUUGAGUGUAAGAUACACUCUCAGAAAAGGUGUAAAGCAGUUGCUUCUCUUGUUCCUUCAUAGGUGAUGUUUCUACUAUGGAAUAUCAAAGAUAAAAUAUACUCCUGCCCUUUGGUUUCUAAACGAUGCAAGUGCUCGAGAGAAAUGGCAGCAGAGUUGUGAGAGCCUUCCUGGUCUUGUAUGAGUAUUCUGAUUACUUCUUCUAUAGCAUGGCUUUUAAUUUUUGAGUGUAAGAUACACUCUCAGAAAAGGUGUAAAGCGGUUGCUUCUCUUGUUCCUUCAUAGGUGAUGUUUCUACUAUGGAAGAUCAAAGAUAAAAUAUACUCCUGCCCUUAGCUUUCUAAACAAUGCAAGUGUUCGAGAGAAAUGGCAGCAGAGUUGGGAAAUCCUUCCUGGUCUUCUAUGAGUAUUCUGAUUACUUCUUCUAUAGCCUGGGUUUUAAUUUUUGAGUGUAAGAUACACUCUCAGAAAAGGUGUAAAGCAGUUGCUUCUCUUGUUCCUUCAUAGGUGAUGUUUCUACUAUGGAAGAUCAAAGAUAAAAUAUACUCCUGCCCUUUGGUUUCUAAACAAUGCAAGUGCUCGAGAGAAAUGGCAGCAGAGUUGUGAGAGCCUUCCUGGUCUUGUAUGAGUAUUCUGAUUACUGCUUCUAUAGCCUGGCAUUUAAUUUUGAGUGUAACACACAUCCUAAGAAAGUAUGUAAAGUGGUUGCUCUUCUUGUUUCUCAGAGCUGUCUCCUAUGUAAUCUUAAAGAUAACAAAAUAUCCUCUGCUCUUAGGUUUCUAAAUAUGCAAAUUCUCCUGAGAAAUGGCAGUCUAGUUGCAACAGCCUUCCUCGUUUUUCUUUUUACGUAUUCUGAUUGCGUCUUUUAUAGCCUGGUUUUUAAUUUUUUUGUGUAACACGCAUCUCUGAAAACAUGUAAAACAAUUGCUUCUCUUGUCCAUGUAUGAACUAUGUGCUGUCUUUUACGGAAGCUCAAAGAUGUCAAAAUAUCCUUCUGGCGCUUAGGUUUCUAAAUUGUGCGCGUUCUAUAGAAAAAUGAUAGAGUUGGGAAAGCCUUCCUGGUUUUCUUCUAUGAGGAUUUUGAUUACUUCUUUUACAGCCGUUUUUUAGUGGGCCUUACUGUGUCAUGCACCAGCAGCAGCACCUUCCUGAACCACACGCCCCAGCGGGUCUACGGUCCACCAGGGGUCCAGGAACCCUGCCUUCCCACUGGCCUUCCAAAUGGGUGCUCCUCUUUUUUUCUUUGGACGAACCCGGACAAGAUGUGCUGUCUACCGCUGUCUACUGUUGCACCGGGGACCCGUAGGGAAGUCACAGUUCUAUUGUCGGCCUCCAACUCCUUCGCGAUGGUCCAACCCCGGACUUCCCUCACCACAACCCUUCGACAUCACUGCUUACGCUCCGGUCGCAGUACAUUCGACUCUUUCGUCUUCGAACCCCUAUAGCUCCAGCAUUCCUUGCGAUCCGCCCGGUCCACUUCGCUCUUCCCCCGGUCACCGCCAUGCUGCUGUUGCGCCCACAGCCCUCACUAAUUGUGCCCAUCCGUACCUCAUCCACGUGUCAUCAUUCUCCUUUUCUAGGUAUUGAUGCAGACCUCAACCGCAAGCAACGCUUCGAGUCUCCGGGGAGAAGUGGUGUUGCACGGUAUCGCUGGACGACAACAAAGCACGACUGCCACUGUACGCCGUCGCAGAGAGAUUUCAAUUCUGUCGUCGCAAUGUUGGGGUACGUGCCCUCUAGGAGCUGUAAGAUGAUGUUCAGCCGUUCUUACCAGUUUGAGGGCUCCUCGGUGGUUUCAAAAACCAGAACAGCGCUUGGACUGACUGGACGGCAACGCUCAACGACGUCGGAACCUUGGACACCGUCUGGUUUAACCUACCUGGGAACCUUCUGCCUGUGUCGAUUGCGCGCGAAUCGGUUGAAGCAGGGAAGAUGGACAGCUGUAGCAGCCACUCCGGACAUCACGGAUAUCACGGAAUGCGCAUAACGAAGUCAGCACUUCUGAAGUGUUGAGAAGCCACAUAACAAUCGCGCUCACAGGCACACACAGUACACCCUAUUAAAGGAGGCACACACACACACACACACACACCAUACACCUUAUUAAAGGAGCACAAGCAACAUGGGGGGGGGGAUUUAUUUGCAUUUAUUUGCAUUUAGUGACUUUGGCUUGCACGAUUGUCGGUGGACCUGAGGUGCUUUCUGCUCCUUCAUGGAGGACGGCACGACAACUGGUUACCCCUGCGGAGGGGGAAGGAGGUAAGGGGCGUAGUCGUAAUGGAUAAGUGAAUCGAAAGGAUUCGAAAAGAAAUCGAAAGAAGUCCGGCGUUGCUCUGGCUGUCGUUCCAGGGUAUGUUGAGAGGUGCGCAUCCGCUCAAUUGUCACGUGGUGGCUCGUAUCUCCUGUUCGUCGAGAUUGGGUCGUUCGUUGUGUGCUGGACUGCGAUGGUUCUUUCCAUCUCUUGGCUUCUUGGGGGAUGACACUCAAUCUGCGGAGGUGUAAGGGACGAAUGUUAGUAUUUGAGUUGGAGAAUCAAAUCGAAAGGAUUCUGAUGUUGCGGUCCUUCCAUCGCUUGAGAGGUAUGCACAUGUGAAUUUUUCCGUUACUGCUGAUGUGUCUGCUGAUGGACGUGGUUAACCGCGUGUGCUGAAGCCGCGAGUGUUCUUAAAAGGGUUUCGCGGAGAUGUGGCUUCUGUCGUUCUAUGUGGGGGUUUUGCGUGCUCUGAGGGACAUGACCGCGCAGACACGAUGCAUAGCCGGUGUAUAGGCGACUUAUAUCUAUAGCUCUUACGGUUUGAGUGGUUGCUGUAUGGGUUUGUGCAAUGUUAAAUCACAAAUAAGCAAUUUAGUAAGAGACCGCUAGGAUGUCCUGUAUGUGCCCCUGAAUGUAUUCUUGUAAGUUAGUUAUUCUAGUAAGUUAUAAUUGUAAGUUCUGGAAAUAAAAGGUAUGCUAACGUG